GGUUGGGUGGCUGAGCGGUCAAAAGCAACGGUCUGUAAAACCGUCGGGCGUGCCCUACAUAGGUUCGAAUCCUAUCCCAACCACCA
rnacentral:tRNA from 1 species